GGACCAACGGAAAAUGGGCAAAUUGAUGUUCACUUUCAGGAUCUGUAUAGCGCAAGAACAACGUUCGAGCAGGCCCGACUUCAUUUGGUCAUCACUUUUUCUUAUGCUAUGAGAAUUUCCAAGAUAUUUCCUUUGCUUCAAUCUGCGAGUCAACACCAUCACAUGUAGCGCAACAUGAGUCAUCCUUGGUAUCGUCCCGUUAUCUAGAUCCUGAAUAGAAACUAAAUGGUUAGUUGGUUUAGCACCUAAAUCUAAAACUGUUAUUUUGUUUGUUUGUUUAGCCAUAAGCUUUCUCUUUGUGUGUUUGGUAUAAUCAGAGGAUCAUGGUGUGUAUUGCCUCUCUCUCUCUCUCAAAUACUUGAAACAGAAAUCUUUAGCUCAUUCAAGUCGAAGGCUUUAUCUAGAGUUCCCUAAAUGAGCUUUUGCUACAAUAUAUGUACA
rnacentral:lncRNA from 1 species